rnacentral:misc_RNA from 1 species
UAAUCCGAGAAUUUCACCUCUGACAAUGAAAUACGGAUGCCCCCGACUGUCCCUCUUAAUCAUUACUCCAGUCUCGGAAACCAACAAAAUAAGACCAGAGUCCUAUCAUGUUAUUCCAUGCUAAUGUAUUCAGAGCGAUGGCUUGCUUUGAACACUCUAAUUUUUUCAAAGUAACAACGCCGACUCCGAACGCCACCCAAUUAAGUGCGACGCACGUCCCCGGCAGAAAGGAAGGGGCCACCAGUGCACACCGGAACGGCGGACCGGUGCCCCCGACCCAAAAUCCAACUACGAGCUUUUUAACUGCAACAACUUAAAUAUACGCUAUUGGAGCUGGAAUUACCGCCA